rnacentral:misc_RNA from 1 species
AAGUCGUAACAAGGUAACCGUAGGUGAACCUGCGGUUGGAUCAUUAACAAUUAUUAUUGAGCCUCCCUCCCCCGGGCGGGUAGGUUCUUUAACACUUGUGUGCACUGUUUAUUGUCUCUCGGCGUUCGAGGGUUGGGUAGCAGAGCUUGCUCUGAUGCCCUUGGGCUUUACGGCCUUGAUCUACCCUUGAGCGCCAACCUAAAACUUGAUUUUUUAUUUAUACUCUAAGCCUUUAAUUUUAAAUUUAUAAUUUGAAAACAACUUUUAACAACGGAUCUCUAGGCUCUCA